GAUGAAGAACGUAGCGAAAUGCGAUACUUGGUGUGAAUUGCAGAAUCCCGUGAACCAUCGAGUCUUUGAACGCAAGUUGCGCCUCAAGCCAUUAGGUUGAGGGCACGUCUGCCUGGGCGUCACAUAUCGUUGCCUGAUGCCAGUUUCCUCGUGAUGGGUGACUGUGCAGGGCGAAUGAUGGCUUCCCGUGAGCAUUGUUGCCUCAUGGUUGGUUGAAAAUUGAGUCCUUGGGAGGUAGCGCCGUGAUAGAUGGUGGUUGAGUGACGAACGAGACCCAAUCAUGUGAGACCCCUACCGAAUUUGGCCUUCAUGACCCACAUGCGUCUUUGGAACGCUCAUGACGAGACCUCAGGUCAGGCGGGGCUACCCGCUGAGUUUAAGCAUAUCAAUAAGCGGAGGA
rnacentral:misc_RNA from 1 species